rnacentral:pre_miRNA from 1 species
UGGUAACUCCAAACCAUUGCCGGCGUUUUAUUUUGUAUCCCGCAAUGGUUGGAAGUUCCUCA